rnacentral:misc_RNA from 1 species
CUCUUAAUUAAAAUAAGAAUUAAUAUCUAAUAAUAAUAAGAAGUAAAUCCGGAAAAUUCAACUAGCUUUGCCGAGGGGCCCCACAAUGUCCAUAACAGUUUCACAAAUAGAGAAUUUAUUGUUCAAUCAAAGAGGAAAAGAUUUAUGAUUUCCAAGUUGUGUCGGAGAUGUUCCUAUCGAGUUUCAUUUACAAAAGUUGCUCUUUGAUUCAUUGCAAGCAAUGAUCUAGCUUUGCAAAAACUCUUGAUUCUUGGUAGGAUUGUGCAAUCGGUUUGUUUGGUUUCGAACUAAACAAACUGAAAACCAAGUAAUUGAAGUAGAAAAUUUGAGAACCAAACCGAAAUAGAUUUAGACAAAAAAACCGAAUUGACCAUUUUGAUUUGGUUUGGUUUUUCGGUUUGGGAGGACUCUAGUCCUUAAGUUUUCAAUUGGCAAAUGCGAUCCAAAUAUCCACAAUUCAUACAACCAAAUAGCAAUAUCAUGCAAAUACCUAAACAACAAACCUAACCAAAUGUCAGAAAGCAAGAGCAACAAGCCAAUAACAUGCAAUUAAACUUCAAGAAAAAACCCAAAUGCAAUAUAUCAAUCUUAAAGAAAAAUCAAACAAAAUCAAAAUUUUGAAAAACUCAAAUCAAUUGAACUCCAAGAAAAAUCAAAUCCAAAGACAAAUUAAAAAAAUCCACAACCCAACUAAAAUUAAACUGAGUUGAAGAAUUGUAAUUAAACACAUUUUAACUCUCCAAAACACAUAGCGGAAGAGGCGAGGAGUUGAGGCUAUAAGAGGAGGUGAGCAUGAAGGCAUUACGAGAACAUGAGCAACAUGCGAGCGAGGGGUACAUGGUUUCAAAUCGCCGUUGCAUUUGCAGUCUACACAAAUUUUUUUGAAAAAUU